rnacentral:tRNA from 1 species
GGAGAGGUACCGAAGCGGUCAUAACGGGGCGGUCUUGAAAACCGUUAGGGUCUUACGGCCCACGUGGGUUCGAAUCCCACCCUCUCCGCCA